GUGUCAGCAGCCGCGGUAAUACGGAGGGUGCAAGCGUUGUCCGGAAUCACUGGGUGUAAAGGGUGUGUAGGCGGGGCUGUAAGUCAGAGGUGAAAUCCCACGGCUCAACCGUGGAACUGCCUUUGAUACUGCAGCUCUUGAGUCCCGGAGAGGUGGCUGGAAUUCGUGGUGUAGCGGUGAAAUGCGUAGAUAUCACGAGGAACACCAGAGGUGUAGACGGGUCACUGGACGGGUACUGACGCUGAGGCACGAAAGCGUGGGGAGCAAACAGGAUUAGAUACCCUGGUAGGCCACGCCGUAAACGAUGGGCACUAGGUGUUGGGGGCGACUUGUCGCCCUCAGUGCCGCAGCCAACGCAUUAAGUGCCCCGCCUGGGGAGUACGCUCGCAAGGGUGAAACUUAAAUGAAUUGACGGGG
rnacentral:rRNA from 1 species